GCCUGGGUGGCUCAGUCGGUUGAGCGUCCGACUUCGGCUCAGGUCAUGAACCUGUGGUUUGUGAGUUCGAGCCCCGCGUCAGGCU
rnacentral:tRNA from 1 species